CACGCCGUAAACGAUGGAUACUUGGUGUUGGAGGUAUUGACCCCUUCAGUGCCGAAGCAAACGCGUUAAGUAUCCCGCCUGGGGANAUGCAACGCGAAAAACCUUACCUGGGCUCGAAAUGUAGAGGAAGAUAGCAGAGAUGUUAUCGCCUUCGGGUCUCUAUAUAGGUGC
rnacentral:rRNA from 1 species